UACGUAGGGUGCAAGCGUUGUCCGGAAUUAUUGGGCGUAAAGAGCUCGUAGGCGGUUUGUCGCGUCGAAUGUGAAAACCCGGGGCUCAACCCCGGGCCUGCACUCGAUACGGGCAGACUAGAGUUCGGUAGGGGAGUCUGGAAUUCCUGGUGUAGCGGUGAAAUGCGCAGAUAUCGGGAGGAACACCAAUGGCGAAAGCAGGUAACUGGACUAUUACUGACACUCAACUGCGAAAGCUAGGGGAGCAAACAGG
rnacentral:rRNA from 1 species